AUAACCCACCUAGCCCACCUUCCUCCUCUUCUCUCUUAUUCUCGUUCUCCUCUUCAUCUCGUUUUUCCCUUUCUCUUUCUCGCUCUCUUCUCUCCAUGGCGCUGUGGCGCACAAGGGCUGCGGCGCUGCGCCCCAAUUGUAGGGGGCGUCGCCGCCGCCUCUGCCUGGCUGCCCGGCGGGGUGCCGCCGCCGCCUCCUCUCUCCUUCCUUCCUUCUUCUUUUCCCCUUAUCCUCCCUCUUUUUCUCUCUCAUCCCAACUCUAACCCUACCCGUUGCCCUGCCUCUCCAAUUGCCAUGGCUGCCGUGGAGAUGGCCGGUGCCAAGCACCGCGCAACUCCGGCGGCCCCGACCUAUCUCCAUGAGUGUGCUCUCCGGUCAGUGUCAACCGAAAGCAAAAAUAUCAGCAAGUAAAAAGUGCACAAGCCAUGCACAAAAAUUUCCUUACGCAUUCGUGGUAAACAGAACUAGUGCUCUUCUGCAGCAAAGUUGGGUUCUGCUGGUUUUUGUAACAACCUUGCAGGCACACUUUCCUGCAGCCAGGCCUUGCGGGUGGCAUUUCUCCUCAAGAUCCGCAUCAUGUUGCCAGUGAAACGCGAAGCAUAUAUUGCUGCCCUGAAGCUGAGAGUUGUAGCACCGUCAUUAACGAUUGCGAACUGCAACCUCUUCUCCUUCUCGCGUAGAGAGUCUUCGAUCUUCUUUCUGCAGUACCUAUGCCAGGCUGCUUGUAUGAAACAG